CACUCAUUUUUAAAAUGUAGUUGAUCAUAAUGAAUUAUUCCUGAAAUGGCAACACAAACAGUACCUCCACGACGUAUGAAAACUGCAAAGAAAGAGCUGCUAAUUGUGAUUUGAGGCAUAUCCUCUAUCUGCCAAAACCCCAGAGGGGAGAAGGUUAGUGGUACCUCCUAUCUCAACCCAUUGAUGUGCCACAUGGAGUUCAUGGGAUAUGCGUUCAGGCACUAGCAUUUUGGGCCAAUUGUCCACCAACAGGUAUUUUACAAAACUUUCAACCAAACUUUGUAAACAUCUCUUGAGACACUGUAAAAAUUCUCAAACUCCUACAUUUUACAAGAUUUCCUGGAAUAAUGCAUGGCUGUGAUGUCCAGGGGAAAACACUGUGCAUUUUCAUAUGCUCAGACCAGAAGUGUUGGAGAUUCCACUGUGGAGCCACUCCAGGUCAAUCAGAAAUAAGGAACUGUGAUGAGGUUUGCAGCUGGCAGGAGAGGACGACAAUGUGGCCGCAUGCAUCUCCAUUCUCCCGUUGGCAACAGAAUUGAAGCUCACAUGAAACAGCUUGGGGAAUGAGCCCAUGGCCCAGCAAGCAGACUUGGCACUCUUUUCCUUCCCACUCCCACCCCAGCCCCUGACUUGACAACAAAAACUGAAGCGGGUCUUCAGGCCAAGUCUUGAAGUUAGGCAGAGCCACAGAUGGAAAAAAAAAAAAAAACACAUCACUGAAACAUCAUGGAGGAAAGCUGCCAUGGAACUUCACGUGAGUGUGAGCAAGUUCUAGACUUUCACAGUAUUGAGCAACUGAGAUGUGGGGUCUAUGUGACAGUGCCAAUAAAACCCAGCCCUGGUACCAUUUUCUGAUUGUUGUCUUCACAACAUUGAUGUGGAAACAGAUGCUGAUGCUGCCACUGUCAUCAAGGAGAAUCAGCUUCUGGAACCUUUAUGACUCCUUCUCUGGAAACUGGUUAAUCACUCAGGAGAUAUCUCCACCAGAAGCUCUUCCCACUCCCUGAACCCUUGCCCUGCCCCAUCAGUGAAAACUUUGAGCAUCCACUAUGUGUAUACUGUGCUAUGUGCUCCCUCAUACAUCUCAUCUCAAACACUACAGAAACCCGUCUGGCAGGUAUUGUGACCCUCUUUCAGCAGGAGGAGAGACUGAACACUCACAUAAGUCUACCAGCUGGUAAGUGGCCGAAUCUAGAUUGAAAUCCCCUCUUGGGACUGUGAAGUCAGUGAUGGUCCAGCUCUCACCAUGGUGUCUCCUGCCCUGACCCAUACUUAUCUGUCUCCCUGCUCCCACCUUAGGAUGUUCCUUGCAAUGACCAUUUCUGGGAAGGGCAAUGUGGGAGUCUCUCCUUGAGGGAAGCCAAGUCUUUUCACUGAAACCAGAGUGGGUGGAGGAUGUGUAACUGGCCUCUGCAUUUAAAACUUGGAACACAUUUUUUCCGUGGAAAAAAUAUUAUGCAGAGAUGUUCCAUUUUUCAAAAAUGUAUGCAAAAGCACUUUGCAAACCAUGAAGAAGUCUAUAAUAUGCCUAUAAGGAAUUACUAUUCUGCAGUACAUUAGCACUGUAAUUCUGACACAUUGUGGAUUAAAUAGCCUUUUGUGAAGUAGUUUGAGAAUUUAACCUCUGAGUGUUACAUUGUCUCAAAGGAAAAAUACAUUCCAAUAGCCAAACAACUGACUUACAACAGAUUUUUGGAACCAAAUCCAUUCAUAACUGAGAACUGCCUGGAUUAACAUGAAGAGGACACAUCAUCACCAUCUUCAUCAAGUAUUAUUUAUGAAGGGCAGUGCAUGGGGUGAGGGCUUCAGGGUGAAAGAAAAAAGAAGGGAAGUGUUAAUCUAAUUUUUAAUGGCUACAAUUCCACAUCCCUGCUUGUGAAUGAGCUCAAGCUGUUCCAAAACAUCCCUCUCAUUUUUUCUCUUCACUUCCUUCCCCAUUUUUACUUAUCUUUUCCUCUCCUAUGGUUGUUACUCUUUUUUGGCCAUUCCUCUUUGUCUGUCUUCCUUAUUUACUCAGUAUGCAUUCUUAUAUUAGACACAUUCUUUUCAGGGACUGGUUAUAUUCUCAGAGUCUGGGACUGAGGGAGUCUUAUCCUUUCCUCUGCCACAGCUGUAUGACAUUCAUUUCUUUUCUGAGUCAUUCUAAAAUUGUCCAAACCAGUUUUCUGACCUCUGCUUACCCUGACUGUCAUCCAGUGAAUAUAUAAGAUCAAUUUUCUUUGGGGAUAACAUGUUGUGACUACUUAUAGUUUUUGCCUCACAAAAUAUUAUAAUUCCUCACAUUGCAUUUGGAGAUGCUACAGAACCUUUAUCUCUAGCCCAUUCCUACACAAAGCUUUUUUCCUUGUAUUAUCUUAGGUCAAAUUGAACUGCAUGUUAUUCCCCAAAUAUACUUCCUUCCUUAUCCCUUUGCUAUUCUGUCUUCCUCUACAGUGCUCUGCAAGUCACCAGUAUGAAAUUCUGUGUGUCCUUCAAUACUCUCCCUAAAGGCUACUUACUUGCAGUGGGAUCCAUAUAUCCCCUCAUAUAUGAAUCCUUAAUUGCUUUUCAAAAAAAUAUUUAUUUAACUCCUUUUAUAUAUUAGGCAUAUGCUGGACACUUUUUAUACAGAAUUCUAUUUAGUGUUUGUAAUAUCCCUGUAAAGUAACUGCAAUUUCCCCACUAUUCCUAUAUGGAAACCAAGAGUUAAAGGACGCGCUCUAGGUCAGGAAGUAGAAGAGGCCAGAAUUUGAACUGACACACAUCUGGAUGGCAAAACCCAUUUGUCUCUUUCUACCACUUUCUCUCUUUCUAUCACUCCCUCCUUCACUAUUUCUCUUAAAGUAAAAGAUUUGAAAUGCAGUAUAUGGGCUAUUGAUGUGUACUAUUGAUUUCAUAGAUACUUUUAGGUCAGAAAAUUCAUCCUAAUCAUCUUUGCAUACUAGCCUACUCUCAUGCUUUGAAUAGUCAAAACUUAAUGUGACAUUGAUGUAAAAGUGCCCCUUCAGGCACGUCACUGAGGAAGUUAAAUUAACAAGUCCCUAUCUUGUUACCAUGUGCAACUAACUCACUAGUAAACAACCAAGGAAUCUUAUAUCCACAGACACCAUAAUUAGGACAAUCCAUAUGGGAUUCUUACAGUAUAAUGCUCUGAACAAAUUUUGAACUGAACAGAAACUAGAGUUGGCUUUUAGUGUUUGCUCCUGGGGAAAUUUGAAAAGAAUAAGAUAUUUAGUGUCAGCAAAUCCUGGAAAUGCUUUGUUUAUUUGUUUAGAUAUUCAAAGUGAGCCAUUUGCCAAGUCUGCAGAACCAAGUACAAGACUGAGACACAAACAAGUGUUUCUUCUCAGCCAAUAAUAGUUCUAAUACCAUCUGGAAACCUACACCAGUUAAGAAAGAAACAAAUGUGCCUUUCUUUUUUAUUUCCUAUGAAGACCUCAAAGCUUGUAAAUCUGGGAUCUGCUGGGUGAGGAAAAGAGAAUUCCAAAGAUGGGGCGCUCCAUUAAACCCAAGCCCCCUGGCAACUGGGACUUCAGAUCAUAGAGACAAUCAGAGAUCAUGUUUAUUCUGAUCUCCAUGGACCAAAAGUUGCCCCUAACUCUGAAAGAGUUUCAUUGUGAUCCAAUUUAGAGUUCAGUUCAACCCUGUAAAUUACUGUGAUAUUUUUAUUGAUAUCAUGAAAAUGUACCCUUGCUUCUCUAUUGUCACAAAAGCAUGUUGUUGAAACACUUAAAAUGCCUUGGCACACUUUAAAAGUGCUUUUUACAUAGGAGACACAAAAUUAAUGGUGCACUUCAGUCAACACAUCCCGCACAAUGCUUUCUUUCCCCUUCCUCAAAGCUGUAGGACAAAACAAAGUGGGUCCACCAGAGACCACUGAACAUUUCUCUGAUGGUAAUAACAUCUGGUUUGUAAGCAAUGGAAGUCAGUGUUACAGUCUCCCCUCUCAUAUCCUAAUGUAUACAUGAACAGCAUUAAGCUAGUUUCAUCAUCAGAUUUCACUUUUCAGUGAAGUUUUAAUUACUAAUCCUUAUCAUGUUAUUUCUAUGAGGGAGCUGGUAGUUUACCUCCCAUUUCUGACUUUCCAGAUCCUUCUCUUGGCGGGCCCUAGCCUACUCCUUUCCCCUCCUCCUCUUUUCAUGCCCUAUUCAGAGUCCUUCAGAUUCAAUGUGCCUGCUCAGCACUUCACCAGCAGCAUUAUUUGGACCCUGUAUUAUCCUAAUCACACAGCAGUUUCCAGCCAUCAAGUACAUAAUCUCAGUUGCACAUUAGCCUGGAAAUGGGCUUUCCCCCCUUUAGUUAUCUUAUCCACAAACAUGUGCAAAUAUUACCUCAUUUCAUCCUUGUGCUGGUGCCAGAGAUUAACCCCAAAACUGUCAUGAUAAAUGUACCAUUUAAAAAAUAGUCAGUUUCCUCAAACCUUAUUUUGUCAGUCUUGUUUCAAAUUCAUCUCCUGUUAUGACGUGGCUACUAGAACUUGUCAUCUUUUAUACUGUUUCACUUCCAAACAUUGGAGCCAAAUAUGAUGUCAUAUGUUCUAGUAGCACAGCACUUAUCUAAAGGAAAAAGCUUACUCAGAGCUUUUACUAAUGUUUUUAUUUGUUAUAAUAACACACAGCGCAAGUUGGAAAACAUAUUUUUAAAGGAAACCAAUGAGACAGGCUUUAAUCUUUAAAUAUGAAAAGGAUUGUUUGAGGACUUCAAAAGGAAGAAAAGUUAUCUUCCUCAGACCAAGAAAACAGUGAUUGGCAGGAGUUUUAUUCAUCAGCCUUUAAUACUGGCAAAAUCAAUCAGUCAAGUAGCAUCAUGCAGGUGUUACAGAAAUGUUAAAAAGUGAAAGAUUUUGUUUCUAUCCAAAAUCACUUCACACUUAUAUUUUUUAAAAAGGAAAAUAAAACAACAUUAAAAUUCUCCUAUUUCCUAAUUAGCAUCAGUGGCAUCAUAUUUGAAUGGCAUGAAUGGAAGAUGAUAUCAUGGACAUGUAAUGGGUUUGGACACAGAAGACCAGGGCAUGGACUGAAAAAGUGACCCUGACAAAUCUCUCCCUCAUUUAUUAAGAUAAUCUGUUCUACCUCAAAGUGCUUGGGGACCACCAAAUAAUUUAUGUGAAAAUGCUUUGAAAUAAAAAAAGUUCUAUACAAAUAUAUGGUAUCAUCUCUGUUAGUUUUUCAUCCCUACUCUUAACUUGUUUAAAGUUAUCAGGGUUGGCACUCUGCACUGCAUUUGCACUCUAUAUAUACUUCUUUCCCAGCACUGAUCACACUUGCUGUAAUUAUACCUAUACCAUGGUUCUUCCAACUAACUUGCAAGCUUUUGAGAAUCGAUCUCCAGAUUCAGGACAGCUCUGGUGCAUAUGUCUGUUGAAUAAUUUGCUUGCUAAAUGAAUACAUACAUGAGGUCCCCAAUUUUUCACUAAUUCAUUCCCAUUUUCCAUUUUUUCCCCUGAUAGCCUACACUUCUUGCCUUUGCUUUAUUACUAUAUUGUCUGCACAGAAUAAUGUAAAUUAUUAUCUGCCUCAGUUAAGAUGAAACAAUUCAUACCAUAAUUGAAGUUACUGCAACAAGAAAUUUCUCUCAAGUCUUAGUAAUUAAUCUCUAAAAUUCAUGCAAAUUUUUAAAGUAAAUCUAUAAUACAAUUAAAUUUAUCUUAACAAAAAUAAUAUUCUUUUCCUAAAUACUUGAGUAAAAUUGAUAUCUCAGAAAAACGGGCCAGAUUUGUCUUAUAUAUUGAAAAGCCCAAUAGACAUAAUAAUUGACUCAAAGACACUGAAAUACUCUAUAUUAAGAGUUUUAAUUAUAUUAAAAUUAAAGAAGAAUUUGAUCUCAUGAAUAAAGGCAAUUUAAUGGCCUAUUGUAAGCAUACCAUUUCUACCAAAUGCUGAGCUAAAAAGUCCAGAGAACAUCCCCCAUUAUAUCUGGAUUUUGAAGGAUAUGACAUAUUUCAGGUAAGCAACUUUUCUUUUUAAAUCACCCAAGGAGAUAUUUUUUAACACUGGUCCAAUUGUCUAUUGUUAGGCCUCAAAAUAAUAUUCUUUAAGUUUCCAAGAUGCUUCUACUGUGAAGCCAGAGAAUUUUCUGAAGUAUUCUCAAGACUGAGGUGCACAAGACAUGAUAUAACUGAAGAUGCGAGGAAUGAGGAACAAGCAUUAUCUUCUAGAAGCUAAACUCCCAAAGAGGAAUCCAAAGUAGGACCUAACUCUGGUAUCAGAAUUCAGAUGUCUCACUUCAAGUGGCAGAAUGGUUCUCAGACAGACUUCAAUACCUCAUUAUGGUUUUUGACAUAACCAAAGAAAGAAUAAGUCAAAAAGAGGUGAUGAUAUUCAAUGGAGGCACAGAAAAGAAAAACAGAAAAAUUACUACUGGCAGAAUGGCUAUGGCAUCAUUCAGGGAGAACUGUUCUGUCCUGUAAAUACACCCUCUUGUGGCAAGGCACCACCCUCGGGUAAGACAGUGUGAGACAGGGGUUUUAUGUCAUUUAACCUUUCUGAUCUUUUAUAGCCUCAUCUGUAAAACAGUUUUAAAAUACAUGAACAUAAAUCCAUGAAAAUUACCACAAUGCCUGGCAUGUAGUAAAAGUUCAAUAAUAGUGGCUGUUAUUAUGAUUAUUAUUACUAUUGGUUAUUAUAGCUGUUGAUGACACAACUAUUGAAAUUAUUCAAUUCUCACUUUAUCCUUUGUUCUCAUGCUUACAAAGCAACUUUGUAAUUAUAAUUUUGUUUCCCAUAAAAAAUGUGUCUGUUGGGAAAGAAAGUAAUGAGUGGUGACAGAAAUGGCUGCUCUCUAAACAAGCUCUUGUUUCUCAUAAUAAACUAAUAAACUGGAAUUAUUAUUCUUA